GCGAAAAGGCGAAAACGCGAAAUCGCGAAGUCGAAAACGCGAAAACGCGAAAACGCGAAGUCGAAAACGCGAAAACGCGAAGUCGAAAACGCGAAAUCGGAAAGAAAAAAUAUUUCGCGUUUUCGCGUUUUCGACUUCGCGUUUUCGCGUUUUCGACUUCGCGAUUUCGCGUUUUCGCGUUUUCGCC
rnacentral:snoRNA from 1 species